rnacentral:tRNA from 1 species
GGAGAGGUGGCUGAGUGGUCGAAAGCGACACGGUGCUAACGUGCUAGGGGUCUUAAAAGCCUCUCGAGGGUUCGAAUCCCUCCCUCUCCG